rnacentral:rRNA from 1 species
AUUGAACGCUAGCGGCAUGCUUUACACAUGCAAGUCGAACGGCAGCGCGGGGCAACCUGGCGGCGAGUGGCGAACGGGUGAGUAAUACAUCGGAACGUGCCCUGUGAUGGGGGAUAACUACGCGAAAGCGUAGCUAAUACCGCAUACGACCCAAGGGUGAAAGUGGGGGAUCGCAAGACCUCACGUCAUAGGAGCGGCCGAUGGCGGAUUAGCUAGUUGGUGAGGUAAAGGCUUACCAAGGCGACGAUCCGUAGCUGGUCUGAGAGGACGACCAGCCACACUGGGACUGAGACACGGCCCAGACUCCUACGGGAGGCAGCAGUGGGGAAUCUUGGACAAUGGGGGCAACCCUGAUCCAGCAAUGCCGCGUGUGGGAUGAAGGCCU